CUGCUUUCAUCUUUACGCUCAGUAUCCUACUCGGACGUCGACUCUACACACUCCCAGCUGUGUACUGACCAAGACGCUACCAUCCCCUUCCACUGGGCCUGGGUAGUGGCGGACUUGGUGUAUGAGCGGUACGGCGAGAGGAUGAGGAGGUUGAGAAACAACAUAGAAGACCACCUCACCAAGUUCAGAUCACACACCACCUUCAGGUCACCUCUGAUGUGUCAACAGGAUGCAUUUCCAGACGAAGAUGUGUCACUUUUGUCUUGUCUCAUGAAUAACUAACGUCUGCAGUCAACGUUUUCCUUUCCAUUGACACUUCUCUGAAAAGUCUGAACCCUGUAUGUUGCCGCGGAAUAAAAUAGUUCUU